UGGGGAAUAUUGCACAAUGGGCGCAAGCCUGAUGCAGCAACGCCGCGUGAACGACGAAGGUCUUCGGAUCGUAAAGUUCUGUUGCAGGGGAAGAUAAUGACGGUACCCUGUGAGGAAGCCCCGGCUAACUACGUGCCAGCAGCCGCGGUAAUACGUAGGGGGCUAGCGUUAUCCGGAUUUACUGGGCGUAAAGGGUGCGUAGGUGGUCUUUCAAGUCGGUGGUUAAAGGCUACGGCUCAACCGUAGUUAGCCUCCGAAACUGGAAGACUUGAGUGCAGGAGAGGAAAGUGGAAUUCCCAGUGUAGCGGUGAAAUGCGUAGAUAUUGGGAGGAACACCAGUAGCGAAGGCGGCUUUCUGGACUGCAACUGACACUGAGGCACGAAAGCGUGGGUAGCAAACAGG
rnacentral:rRNA from 1 species